AUGUCUGAUACUGGGGGCGGCGGCGGCGGCGGUGUGCUGUACAAGAGGAUCCCUCCUCCGGAACCGGAACCCCAACACGAGGAGGGUCCUCGUUUUCCUACCUCGCCGUCCUACGAGUGCUACCCAGAGUAUGGGAGCAUGGCUGAUUACAUUCCCGCUCGCACCGGCCACCGCGGCCUCUCCGAUGAUUACCAUGAUUAUUGGGCUAGAAAUCCCGAUAAUUCAAAGAUGAUCCCUCCUCCGCCGGAACCCCAGGACGAGGAGGGUCCUCGUCUUCCUACCUCGCCGUCGUACGAAUGCUACCCACAGUAUGGGAGCAUGGCCGAUUACAUUCCCGCUGGCCUCUCCGAUGAUUACCACGAUUAUUGGGCUAGAAAUCCCAGUAAUGUUCCCACUUACAAUAUCGGUGGCGACUCCUCGGCCUUUGAUGCCAUGUACGAGGACGACGACUGCGGUCUCACCGCGGCGGACCUCGAGCGCCAGACCAACGAGUACAUAACCGCCGCGCUCGACCACUACAACAGCCAAGACCAGAACCAGGUCAAGUAUGAGCUCGUCAGAGCCAUAUACACUAGCACGGCGAUCAUGGAUGAAAGAGGCUUCUAUGGUCAUGUAAACUUCACCGCCAAAAGCAGCUUGGAGAAUUCAAAGGAGGAGUUAUUGUUCGCGGAGGUAUAUUACGAGCGCGGCAGCGAUACGUGUAUACCCACCUCCAUAGUUUCUUUGGAAGGGCAAAAUGGAGUUGGUGGGGUUAGGGGCAAGGACAUUUGUGGUCCCUAUCGUGGCAUGGAGAUUCGUGUCGACACUCAACAUUGCUAUGCAUGUCUAGAAGCCGUGAAGCACCCGGAGGAUGGAACAUUGUAUGAGACCGGUCAUCACGUGGAUGGCUGCUAUGGCUAUUUGUUGUAG
rnacentral:rRNA from 1 species